rnacentral:rRNA from 1 species
UACGUAGGGGGCUAGCGUUGUCCGGAAUCAUUGGGCGUAAAGAGCGUGUAGGCGGCCCGGUAAGUCCGCUGUGAAAGUCGGGGGCUCAACCCUCGAAUGCCGGUGGAUACUGUCGGGCUAGAGUGCGGAAGAGGCGAGUGGAAUUCCUGGUGUAGCGGUGAAAUGCGCAGAUAUCAGGAGGAACACCAAUUGCGAAGGCAGCUCGCUGGGACGUGACUGACGCUGAGGCGACGAAAGCUAGGGUAGCAAACGGG